rnacentral:rRNA from 1 species
GACGAACGGUGCGAACGUUGUUCGGAUUUACUGGGCGUAAAGGGCGCGCAGGCGGCUAUCCAAGUCAGGCGUGAAAGCCCCGGGCUUAACCUGGGAGGUGCGUCUGGGACUGGGUGGCUAGAGUUCGGGAGAGGAGAGUGGAAUUCCCAGUGUAGAGGUGAAAUUCGUAGAUAUUGGGAAGAACACCGGUGGCGAAGGCGGCUCUCUGGACCGAGACUGACGCUGAGGCGCGAAAGCGUGGGGAGCAAACAGG